UUCUUUAAAAUUAAAGAAUUUGGCGGUAUUUUAGUCUGUUCAGAGGAACCUGUUUUUUAAUUGAUAGUCCACGAUAAAUUUUACUUUUGUUUUUAAUUUAUAUAUCGUUGUUUGUAAAAAUUUUAUGAUUUAAUUUUUUCAGAUCAAGGUGUAGUUUAUAUAAAAGUUAAAAUGGGUUACAUUAAAAAUUUUAAUUAAAUUGGAUUUGAUAGUAAGCUCUAAAAUAUGCACAUAUCGCCCGUCGCUUUCACUUUAAGGUGAAAUAAGUCGUAACAAAGUAGGCUUAUUGGAAAAUGGGCCUAGAAUGCAAAUUAGAGCUUGUUAAGCUUUUUAUUUACACUAAAAAGUUAAUUGUGAAAUUCAAUUUAAUUUGAACUUUAUUUGUUAUUGUUUAUUUUUUUUAUUAAUUUAUAGUAGAAGAAUUUAUUUUCUUAUUUUAUUUAUGAAAAGAAUUUAUUAUAGUUUAUGGUACUGUAAAGGAUUUAAAGUUUUUAAAAGGAGAAUUGUUUUUUUGUACCUGNNNNNNNNNNNNNNUUUGAUUUUCCCGAAUUUAGAAUAGCUAUUUUUACUGUAGAAUAAGUAUUUUGAAUAUUCUUGUAGGAGUGAAACGUUAUUCGUUUCUAAAUAUAUCUGGUUUCUUAAGAAAUUAGUUAAAUUUGUUUGAUUUUAGAAAUGGGAUGGGGAUAAGCUUGAUAAUAAAAUUUUAUAAAUUUUUAUUUUUUUAUUUUAUAUAGGAUUAUAAUUUUCCAUUAUUUUAAGUAUGUUAUAUUUUAUAGUUUUAAUUUUUUAUUAAGAUUUAAUUUUAAUUUUUUUUUGGUUAGUAAUAAUGAUAGGAUUAGUAAGGUAGGUUUAAGGAACUCGGCAAAUACAAUUUUCACCUGUUUAUUAAAAACAUGGCUUUUUGUUUAUGAUUUAAGGUCUGACCUGCCCAAUGAUUAAAUGGCCGCAGUAUUUUGACUGUGCAAAGGUAGCAUAAUCAUUAGUUUUUUAAUUGAAAGCUGGAAUGAAUGGUUUGAUGAGAAAUUAACUGUCUCUAGAAUUUUAUUUUUAAGUAAGAAAGCUUGGAUUUUGUAUAAAGACGAGAAGACCCUAUAGAGUUUUAUUGGGGUGAUAAAUAAAUUUAAUUAACUUUAUUUUUUUUUGAUUUUUUGAUCCCGGAUUAUAAGAUAAAAUUAC
rnacentral:rRNA from 1 species